rnacentral:rRNA from 1 species
CCUACGGGAGGCAGCAGUGGGGAAUCUUGCGCAAUGGGAGAAAUCCUGACGCAGCGACGCCGCGUGGGCGACGAAGGCCUUCGGGUCGUAAAGCCCUGUCAGAAGGGACGAAAAACAAAAUGGCUAAUAUCCAUUUUGCUUGACGGUACCUUCAGAGGAAGCACCGGCUAACUACGUGCCAGCAGCCGCGGUAAUACGUAGGGUGCAAGCGUUGUUCGGAGUGACUAGGCGUAAAGCGUGUGUAGGUGGUUAGAAAAGUUGGAUGUGAAAUCCAUUGGCUUAACCAAGGAAGUGCAUUCAAAACUACCUAGCUAGAGGACGGGAGAGGGAGGUGGAAUUCCUAGUGUAGAGGUAAAAUUCGUAGAUAUUAGGAGGAAUACCGGAGGCGAAGGCGGCCUCCUGGACCGUUUCUGACACUGAGACACGAAAGCGUGGGGAGCAAACAGGAUUAGAUACCCCUGGAGU